AUGGAUGCAAACAUGAUCACACAUAACAUGAGCCUAACACCAACUUUAGCUCCUUGGAACCUAAGACUCAAACCAAAACCCACUUUUGUAGUUGGAGUUCUUGCACGUCCUACAGAAGAAACAUCAAGCAAAACUCAUGUAUACAAAGAUAAUUGGUUUGAUAAAUUAGCCAUAAACCAUUUAUCAAAAAGUGUUCAAGCCGCAACAGGAAUCAGUAAUGAUAAGAGUGGUUUUGAUAGCCUUGUUGAGGCAGCUACUGUGGCUUCAAAGAAAUUUAGUCCUAUUCAACAGCAAGAAGUUGUUUUAGAUGCACUUGACAGAGCCUUUCCAAAGCCAAUACUUUCGGUG